GACGAACGCUGGCGGCGUGCUUAACACAUGCAAGUCGAACGGAAAGGCCCCUUUGGGGGUCCUCGAGUGGCGAACGGGUGUGUAACACGUGAGUAACCUGCCCUUGACUUCGGGAUAACUUCAGGAAACUGGGGCUAAUACCGGAUAGGAAUCCUUGCUGCAUGGUGGGGGUUGGAAAGCUUCGGCGGUUUUGGAUGGACUCGCGGCUUAUCAGCUUGUUGGUGGGGUAGUGGCUUACCAAGGCUUUGACGGGUAGCCGGCCUGAGAGGGCGACCGGCCACAUUGGGACUGAGAUACGGCCCAGACUCCUACGGGAGGCAGCAGGGGGGAAUAUUGCACAAGGGGCGGAAGCCUGAUGCAGCAACGCCGCGUGCGGGAGGACGGCCUUCGGGUUGUAAACCGCUUUCAGCAGGGGCGAAGCUUGUGGUGACGGUACCUGCAGAAGAAGCACCGGCUAACUACGUG
rnacentral:rRNA from 1 species